rnacentral:rRNA from 1 species
AUUGAACGCUGGCGGCAGGCCUAACACAUGCAAGUCGAGCGGAUGAAGGGAGCUUGCUCCUGGAUUCAGCGGCGGACGGGUGAGUAAUGCCUAGGAAUCUGCCUGGUCGUGGGGGAUAACGUCCGGAAACGGGCGCUAAUACCGCAUACGUCCUGAUGGAGAAAGUGGGGGAUCUUCGGACCUCACGCUAUCAGAUGAGCCUAGGUCGGAGUAGCUAGUUGGUGGGGUAAAGGCCUACCAAGGCGACGAUCCGUAACUGGUCUGAGAGGAUGAUCAGGCACACUGGAACUGAGACACGGUCCAGACUCCUACGGGAGGCAGCAGUGGGGAAUAUUGGACAAUGGGCGAAAGCCUGAUCCAGCCAUGCCGCGUGUGUGAAGAAGGUCUUCGGAUUGUAAAGCACUUUAAGUUGGGAGGAAGGGCAGUAAGUUAAUACCUUGCUGUUUUGACGGUACCAACAGAAUAAGCACCGGCUAACUUCGUG